rnacentral:rRNA from 1 species
UACAGAGGGUGCAAGCGUUAAUCGGAAUUACUGGGCGUAAAGCGUGCGUAGACGGUUAUGUAAGUCAGGUGUGAAAGCCCCGGGCUCAACCUGGGAAUGCCAUUUGAGACUGCAUAGCUAGGGUACGGAAGAGGGAAGCGGAAUUUCAGGUGUAGCGGUGAAAUGCGUAGAUAUCUGAAGGAACACCAGUGGCGAAAGCGGCUUGCUGGGCCAGUUCUGACGCUGAGGAGCGAAAGCGUGGGGAGCGAACAGGA